CGAUAAUCUACUGCAGUGCGUCUGCAUACGGUUCUAUGUUGAAGCAAUUAUAAUUUCCCAAUAAUGUGCAGAUAUAACUUAUAUGGAAUAUCACACUUCACAGUGUCAACAGAAACUGGGAUACUGUACUGAGUAUCUAAUGCUGCAUGAAGCUCACGAUUUCUACACCUGGAAUUUUAUUAACUCUUGCAAUAAAUAUUAUACAUCACCACAGUUACAGAACUAUGUUCUUUGAAAAAAUAAAAUAAAGAUACUUCAGA